ACAUUGUCUGCCAAGUCUUUUUCAUUCGAUACUUGCAAGUUGCAACAAAACUUACAAUUCUUUGUUGCAUAUUAUCCCAAUUGACAUUUGCCUAACUAUGUUACUCAUUCUUUUCUUUUCUUUCAGAUUCAAGGACCGUAAUGGCCAUUAUUGGACCUGCUGAAAUGGUUGAUGAUGUAACAGGUGGACUGAAGCUUUUGUAGGGACUGAUUCAUUAGGGUUGGUAUCUAUCUGACUGGUACGGGCGUUACAUUACAUGGUAGAGUUCUGAGAUCUCAGUUUUAUGGCUGAGAGUGUUGCAAAAUCUACUCACUUGAUUGGAGAAUGGGCAGAGGAUCUCGUUGGUGAUGAUGAUGAUGAUGAAAUUUUUUCUAUAUAGACCCAUUAUCAAUGAUGGAAUUAUUCUUUUUGAGUUGAAUAUGAUUGGUGAUAGUGAAACUGAAUCACAUCACCGUUUAAUUUGCAAAUUAGACCAAGUGAUUGGUUUGUUGCUUUGUAAUGAUGCUCCAUUGUCUCUCAACCUGGUGACAUCUUUUGAGUUGUUUUUGCACCAUGAAUGCAACAGUGACUUUUGUACUCUA